UUUCCUUCAGCCUAAUUUGCAGCCAUCUUAGCCAAGCCUUCAUAUUUCUUCCCUUUUCAACCCGGUCCCUCAUUUUCCACCUGGAGAAGUCUCUUCUCAAUCGCCUAGGCAACGGAGACAAGAGCUAGGACGCUGUCGCACGGGCCUAGCUUCUGUCAGAGAAGUGGAAGAGCUUUCUUGUAUGCCUUAUUACCAACCACAGAACCUAGAAGAGUAGAAGGGAAAUUUCUCCUCCCCUGCAGUAUUGUUGGGCCUGUUGACCUCACUGUCACAACCUCAUCGAGUAUGACAUUCAAAAGAGCGAAGCCCCCUGGUACAUAGUUGUAUAUUCUUCGUUGUGGGUCCUUUUGUUGUGUCAUGUGGGACGCCGCCUCAGCGUGGUUCGACGAGCAGUGCCAUGUCCGUGCCCAGGAUUCGAACCAACGAAACACUGGGCCGCCUGCAGUGGAGCGCGCAAACUCAACCAUUUGGCCAUGGGGCCAACCCCGGUGCCAGUGUACCAGAAGCACAAGAAAGAUGAUCAGAGAAUUAAGAAAAAGAAGAAAAUACCGAAUGAGAUUAAGAAGGAAAAUUUGGGACAAAAACCUGGAGGUGUCCUUCACACCAACACCCCCCUCAUCCAAUGUAUCACAAUGGACUAUAUAUCUAUUUAACCCCAAAAGGUGUCUUGAACUGAUCGAUUUUCGCCCACGCCUUCACCGCCUUCUUGCUUUAGUCUAAUCCGUCAUCAUCUCUCCAUGUAUAUCUGGAAGAACUUCCUAAUUGUUCUCCCUCCUUUUACUUUUAUCCCCCUGCAAUCCAUUCCGCACACCAGUAAUUGCAGUGAUUUAUUUAAAAUGCUAAUAGGAUCAUGUAGUUUCCUUACUUAUCAUCUUUCAAGGGCUCCUUACUGCACUUAGGAUAAAAUAUAGACCCAUAACCUUGCCUUUGGGGCUCUGCAGAUUGCUGCCCCUGCCUCUACCGCCAGCCUCAUCUUGCACCAUCUCUUGUUCCUCACAGCCAGCAGGCACUA
rnacentral:lncRNA from 1 species